UCCUACGGGGGGCAGCAGUGGGGGAUAUUGCACAAUGGGGGGAACCCUGAUGCAGCGACGCCGCGUGGGCGAUGGAGUACUUCGGUAUGUAAAGCCCUAUCAGCAGGGAAGAAAAUGACGGUACCUGACUAAGAAGCCCCGGCUAACUACGUGCCAGCAGCCGCGGUAAUACGUAGGGGGCAAGCGUUAUCCGGAUUUACUGGGUGUAAAGGGAGCGUAGACGGCUGUGCAAGUCUGAAGUGAAAUGCCGGGGCCCAACCCCGGCACUGCUUUGGAAACUGUACAGCUAGAGUGCAGGAGGGGUG
rnacentral:rRNA from 1 species